rnacentral:rRNA from 1 species
UACGUAGGAGACGAGCGUUGUCCGGAAUUAUUGGGCGUAAAGAGCUCGUAGGCGGUUCGGCAAGUCGGAUGUGAAAAUCUCCACGCUUAACGUGGAGGGGCCAUUCGAAACUGCCGUGACUCGAGUCCGGUAGGGGAGUGCGGAAUUCCCGGUGUAGCGGUGAAAUGCGCAGAUAUCAGGAGGAACACCGGUGGCGAAGGCGGGUCUCUGGGCCGAUACUGACGCUGAGGAGCGAAAGCGUGGGGAGCGAACAGG